GAAAACCCUCUCUCUCUCUCAUGAUUUCACCAUUGGAGACUCUUGAAACUUUUUGAGGCUUUAUCACAUGUAAUCCACAAAGUUAUUCAUACAAGAAAAUUCAUGGCUAUGGCAUGGAGAAGAUGAAGGUUCAAGGCUUAUCAACGAAGCGGAGAUUUGCUCCGGUUGUUGUUGUUUUUAUCAACGAAAUUAAGCGGAGAAAAAACCUGGAAAACUUGAAGAGUUUUUCUUGUAGGGAGAUGAUCAUUCAAAGUGAGGAAUAAAGUUGGGGAAUCAAUGGUGAUUAAAUAGAAGUCCAUGAAACUUUAGCAUUUUGUUGAAAAUUGUGUCAUGUAGCAUAAUGAUGUAAUUUCAUAUUUUCUCAAGAACGAUGAUGAAUACCAUGUAAAAUAAUUGUGGAAUAGGUCUAGGAAUAAUCAGGAGUCUAAAUUGAGUCUAUAGUCAAAAGUUAACUGAAAGUCAAGAGUUAUCCAUAAAAUCAACCGAACCAAAAUUAUGUACUUUUCCUUCUCUUUCCAUGUAAUCUAUCCUCUUGACUUGAUUCACAAA